rnacentral:rRNA from 1 species
UACGUAGGGUGCGAGCGUUGUCCGGAAUUAUUGGGCGUAAAGAGCUCGUAGGCGGUCUGUCGCGUCUGCUGUGAAAUCCCGAGGCUCAACCUCGGGCUUGCAGUGGGUACGGGCAGGCUAGAGUGCGGUAGGGGAGAAUGGAACUCCUGGUGUAGCGGUGGAAUGCGCAGAUAUCAGGAAGAACACCGAUGGCGAAGGCAGUUCUCUGGGCCGUAACUGACACUGAGGAGCGAAAGCUAGGGGAGCAAACGGG